CGGCGGCGGGAGGCGCAGGGGCGCUGCCCGCAACUGGUGGUGGUGGAGCACGAUCCGGGGCGGGAUGCCCGGGCGUUCGAGCCGGUCGUCGCGGCC
rnacentral:tRNA from 1 species